rnacentral:rRNA from 1 species
GCAAGUCGAGCGAACCGAUUAAGAGCUUGCUCUUAUGAAGUUAGCGGCGGACGGGUGAGUAACACGUGGGUAACCUGCCCAUAAGACUGGGAUAACUCCGGGAAACCGGGGCUAAUACCGGAUAACAUUUUGCGCCUCAUGGCGCGAAAUUGAAAGGCGGCUUCGGCUGUCACUUAUGGAUGGACCCGCGUCGCAUUAGCUAGUUGGUGAGGUAACGGCUCACCAAGGCGACGAUGCGUAGCCGACCUGAGAGGGUGAUCGGCCACACUGGGACUGAGACACGGCCCAGACUCCUACGGGAGGCAGCAGUAGGGAAUCUUCCGCAAUGGACGAAAGUCUGACGGAGCAACGCCGCGUGAGUGAUGAAGGCUUUCGGGUCGUAAAACUCUGUUGUUAGGGAAGAACAAGUGCUAGUUGAAUAAGCUGGCACCUUGACGGUACCUAACCAGAAAGCCACGGCUAACUACGUGCCAGCAGCCGCGGUAAUACGUAGGUGGCAAGCGUUAUCCGGAAUUAUUGGGCGUAAAGCGCGCGCAGGUGGUUUCUUAAGUCUGAUGUGAAAGCCCACGGCUCAACCGUGGAGGGUCAUUGGAAACUGGGAGACUUGAGUGCAGAAGAGGAAAGUGGAAUUCCAUGUGUAGCGGUGAAAUGCGUAGAGAUAUGGAGGAACACCAGUGGCGAAGGCGACUUUCUGGUCUGUAACUGACACUGAGGCG